rnacentral:miRNA from 1 species
UUCAGCAGGAACAGCU